rnacentral:pre_miRNA from 1 species
GAGAGCAUCGGAGCUGUCGGAGCCGAUGUUCUAGCUGGAAUGAAAAACGGCUGACGCUGGCACCGAGAGCCCUGUGGCUUCC